AUUCAUUGCGUUUCUUUAAGUAAAAAAAAAUACUAGACAACUUUUCAUGAUUAUAUACCCUUCAUCUAUAAAACUAGUGUUGAAAUGUUUGUAAUUGGAUUGCUAUGUUAAAUAAUUGCUUUUUAACAUUCUAAAUUGUUACUUUUAUGUUCCAAAUGCAAAGUUUGGUCAUACCCAGUCUUAUUUUUUUCAUAUUUGGCACUUUUUUCUACUUCAGUUUUGUCCGUCUAGUUUUGGCGAAUAAACCAUCCAGAUGUUGGGGUAACAGGAAUUUCUGCAGAGUGGUUGUCAAUGACAUUUUGUGAAAUUUACAAUUUUGUCCGUCUAGUUUUGGCGAAUAAACCAUCCAGAUGUUGGGGUAACAGGAAUUUCUGCAGAGUGGUUGUCAAUGACAUUUUGUGAAAUUUACAAUUUUGUCCGUCUAGUUUUGGCGAAUAAACCAUCCAGAUGUUGGGGUAACAGGAAUUUCUGCAGAGUGGUUGUCAAUGACAUUUUGUGAAAUUUACAAUUUUGUCCGUCUAGUUUUGGCGAAUAAACCAUCCAGAUGUUGGGGUAACAGGAAUUUCUGCAGAGUGGUUGUCAAUGACAUUUUGUGAAAUUUACAAGUAAUUAAAACACAGAUUUAGUAAAAUGAAACAUAAUUGUUGUUUUUUAUGGUAUGAAACUGCUUAAAAAACCUUUGAAAAGUCUUUUUGUGGUCUUU